UGGGGGAAUUUUGGACAAUGGGGGAAACCCUGAUCCAGCCAUCCCGCGUGUGCGAUGAAGGCCUUCGGGUUGUAAAGCACUUUUGGCAGGAAAGAAACGUCGCGGGUUAAUACCCCGCGAAACUGACGGUACCUGCAGAAUAAGCACCGGCUAACUACGUGCCAGCAGCCGCGGUAAUACGUAGGGUGCAAGCGUUAAUCGGAAUUACUAGGCGUAAAGCGUGCGCAGGCGGUUCGGAAAGAAAGAUGUGAAAUCCCAGAGCUUAACUUUGGAACUGCAUUUUUAACUACCGGGCUAGAGUGUGUCAGAGGGAGGUGGAAUUCCGCGUGUAGCAGUGAAAUGCGUAGAUAUGCGGAGGAACACCGAUGGCGAAGGCAGCCUCCUGGGAUAACACUGACGCUCAUGCACGAAAGCGUGGGGAGCAAACAGGAUUAGAUACCCUGGUAGUCCACGCCCUAAACGAUGUCAACUAGCUGUUGGGGGCCUUCGGGCCUUGGUAGCGCAGCUAACGCGUGAAGUUGACCGCCUGGGGAGUACGGUCGCAAGAUUAAAACUCAAAGGAA
rnacentral:rRNA from 1 species